GCGGAGGUGGUGGAAUUGGUAGACACGUUAGCUUGAGGUGCUAAUGACGUAAGUCGUGCCUGUUCAAGUCAGGUCCCCCGCA
rnacentral:tRNA from 1 species